GACGAACGCUGGCGGCGUGCUUAACACAUGCAAGUCGAACGGUGAAGGGGCCUGCUUUUGUGGGCCCUGGAUGAGUGGCGAACGGGUGAGUAACACGUGAGUAACCUGCCCCCUUCUUCUGGAUAACCGCAUGAAAGUGUGGCUAGUACGGGAUAUUCUGGGUCUGUCGCAUGAUGGGUCUGGGAAAGAUUGCGCCUUUGGGUGUUUUUGGUGGGGGAUGGGCUCGCGGCCUAUCAGCUUGUUGGUGGGGUGAUGGCCUACCAAGGCGGUGACGGGUAGCCGGCCUGAGAGGGUGGACGGUCACACUGGGACUGAGACACGGCCCAGACUCCUACGGGAGGCAGCAGUGGGGAAUAUUGCACAAUGGGCGCAAGCCUGAUGCAGCGACGCCGCGUGAGGGAUGGAGGCCUUCGGGUUGUAAACCUCUUUCGCCAGUGAAGCAGGCCUGCUCCUUGUGGGUGGGUUGACGGUAGCUGGAUAAGAAGCGCCGGCUAACUACGUG
rnacentral:rRNA from 1 species